UUAGAGCGAACUACGAGUCUUAGAAUGAAAGAAAAUGUGCCAUCCCCCGUACCAAGGAAAUAUGUAGUGCCCUCCCUUAGGGGGGACUAUUAUGGAACAAUCCGAAACGUUCAACGAUAUAGAAGAUGGCCGUCAUUGCAAAUUUGCACGUUAGAUGUAAAACAGGCUAACCCUAAUAUCCAAACCCUAACCCUAAUAUCUAAAACCCUGGCCGUUCCAAAUCCUUGCCCUAAAAUGAUGUUGGAUUGUCCUCUCAUCUUAAAGUGUGCGCAAGGUCCUUCCUCCUCGAAGUAUCUGAAGCCAUUCAGCUUUAACAUGUCGAAAUAGUUGUGAUCGGCUAAUCCUAGUGACUUAAUCUGUGCAUUUUAUUUACAUCCUCAGGAUUCGUAAACCAGGGCUUUCUAUCAAUGGCUUAUGAUAGAGAUUUGUCAAUAUGGGUCAAGCGUAAAUUGGUUAUGCUAGAGAUUUGUAAAAAUGGGUCAAGCGUAAAUGGGUCAUGACAGGGAUUUGAAAAUAUGGGUUAAGCGUAAGUGGGUUAAAACUUAAGAUCCAAUGCAACAACAAUUGUCAACUGACGACUCUUAGUUUUUAAGUUUAAACUUCGGUCUAGCUGAGAAAGGGGUUGCGUCUCUGAUUAGCUAUUGGCCAGAAAUUAGGAAGCCUCCUUUGUGUAAGGAAAUAGCAUUUAUAUUUUUUAUUACAUCUCGUCAUGUUGCGCUCGUUUUACCUGGUACUUCAGAUAUACACCUCUGGAAGUCACAAGUCACUGUCAUAUGCAUUAUGUGGUUUGCUACAUAUGAAUGUUCUCUUUAUUCCACUAUUUAGUAUUCUAUUGGGCUCUGUAAAUCGUUUGCUGUUCUUUUUGGAUGCAUGCUUUCCCAUGUAUCAGCUUUUUGGCACAUUCUUCAUAUUUUCCUCACCAAAUCAGGAUAAUUAUAUUGAUUCUAUUGAAAUUAGGUUUAAGUUAGACUAUUCUGGAUUUUCCGUUUUAGGUAAUAUUUUGAAACGGGGAGAAGUGACAAGUUCUUACACUUGUAAUAGCUACUUUUUAAAGCUAUGCAUAUAAAUUGUAAUUCAACAGUCAGAAUUAGCCAUACAACUACACAUGUUUAAAGUCUAACGAAUUUAGCUAGAUUGCAAAUUUUAACUACAGCUCAAUUCAAAGAGUUUGCUUCAAAAUGAGUACAAGUAUGGUUUAAGUUUACAGAAUCCAACAGAGUUAAAGCUAAAAGAGUGCUUACAUUACAAACACAGCUUAAGAUAAUAGUUUGCAUAAAUUAUAAAUACAGCUUAAGAUGACAGUUUGCAUAAAUUGCAAAUACAGCUUAAGUUCCAGAACUCUAAUGGGUAAAGAGAUUGCCAUAAAAAUUCACUAUUGAGUAGGAUCUGCGUAAAUUGCAAAUAUACCUUCGUGAGUUUGCUAAAAUUACAAAUGCAACAGAAAUUAGAGAUGUUGCCGGAAUUUCAAAUGCAGUAUAGGUUUAGGAGUUUGCUUUUAGCUACAAAUAUGUUGAAAGAUGCUCUCCUUAGUUGCACAAACAAGCCUUAAUGACUUUGUUAAAAUUACAAAUGAAACAUAAAUUAGAGAUACUGCCGGAUUUUCAAAUGCAUUAUAAAUUUAGGAGUCUGCUUUAAGCUACCAAUACAUUGAAAGAUAUUCUUCUUAGGUACAAAUGCUACUGAAGUUAAAGAGCUCAAGUUAAUACUGCUACAAAUGCUGCUUAAGCUAAUGAGUGAGUUUGCCUCGUACAAAUAAUGGAAAGACAUUCCACUUAAUUACAAAUUAAGGGUCUUAUAGUGGCUGUGAGCUUUGUGGUAGCUCCAUCCAUGUUCAAAUGGUUGAGUAGACUCAUUAUUGUGGAAUGGUUGAUGGCCUCAAUGGGGUAGGGAGCCUUUGAGUAGUUGAGGUCAGCCUUUUAACUAGAAUAUAAUUAAGGGUCUUAAAGCAGCUGUGAGCUUUGGAGUAGCUUAGUAGUUGAGGGCCACACUGGAGUAGCCUCGUAUUUGUGGAAUGGUUGAUGGCCAUAAUUGGGUAGCCUUGCCCUUGUCAAAUGUAGCGGAGGGGCUUUGUUGUGUUAGCCUUGCCCUUGUCAAAUGUAGCGGAGGGGCUUUGUUGUGUUAGCCUUGCCAUCUGUGCAAGGAACAAAUGGGUUUGUUGUUUUAGAAUUGACCCUCGUGGAUCAAUCAAAGUUUCCAUUGUGCUUAACCGUUGCCAUGCCUAUUUGAGGGUUUCAUCAUGUUGAUGCAAGCAUUUGGCCUUGGCCCUUACUGAAGGCUCUAGAGCCUCAUUGUUGUUUUGUGUGGCCUUGCAUCCUCAUUGGAGUAGCCUCAUCUUUGUGUAAUGGUUGAUGGUCACAGUUGGGUAGCCUUGCCCUUGUUAAAUGUAACGGAGGCCUUUGUUGUGUCAUUGCCAUUUGUGCAAGGACAAAUGGGUUUGUUGUUUCAGAAUUGGCCUCGUGGAUCAAUCAAAGUUUCCAUUAUGCUUAAAUGUUGCCAUGCCUAUUUGAGGGCUUCAUCAUGUUGAUGCAAGCAUUGGUCUUGGCCCUUAAUUAAGACUCUAGAACUUCAUUGUUGUAGUUUUGUGUGGCCUUGCAUCCUCAGGCCUAUCCAAGGGUGGUCAAAGUGAUUGACACCCGCUGUACCUUGGAGGGCCUCUAAGCAUCUAACCCUUGACCAGCCUGGGCACUAAAUGCUUUAGAUGAGUUGCAACUUGAGAGUAAUCAUUGGAGCAGGCACUAUGGCUCCUACAACAACACUAUUGAUAGUGGGUACUACUAUCUGAGCGCCAGUCUUUGAAGAUCAUAAGUGGUUCUGUGGAAUCAGUCAUUGCUUCCAUGACACACCCAGAGAGAUAGCCAACUCUAUUGGAUCUGAAGAUGCGGGUGGGGCAACUUGUUGAGUGCCUUUGUUAGUUAAUUGGUUUGUGUCGCGGAGGAAGCAGACAACUCCUGGUUGUGCAGCUAUUUAUUUCAGCUACUUUUUUAGUUUCAUUCUUUCAAAGUAAUUUAAAUGCUUUGUUCGUUAGUUCAUUGGUUCAUGUCAUGGAGGAAGCAGACGAUUCCUGGUUCUGGAGCUUAUUUAUUUCAGCUACUUUUUGUAGUUUCAUUCUUUCAACGUAAUUUAAAUGCUUUGUUCAAUAUAAAAAAAUAAAAUUACAUACAGGACAGACAGGAUGAGUUUUAUAUUCCAUUCAAGAAUUUAUUAAAAAUGCAUAUUAUAGUAAUGUCUUUAAACAUUCAUUGUAAUUGUCAGUGGGCGAGGGCUUUCUAUCUUAGAGAUGUAGAGUGAUUGUCAAAAUCACCAAUCUCACUUACAGGCUUUUAUCUUAAAGAUGUAGAGUGCUUGUCUGUUCAUCUUGGAAGCUAGUAUUAUGUUCUCCAAUUCAUGCUUUUACGACCCAAACACUUGCUUAGCUUGUCUUUAAAGGUACAAACGUGCAUAAAAUUAGUUUAUAAAAGAGGUACAAACGUGCAGUGAAGUGAAAAUUCUAUGCGCUACAAGUACAACAAACAACAGCAGAAGGGCAUCAUGGAACACUUAGGAGCAACUAAGAUACCUUAUUUAACAUAUGUUAUCCUAUCCUCAUUGCAAUGGGCAUUUAUCUUUCCAAGGACUUUGGGGUUUCACACACUUGAAGCAUAUUCAAAUUUUACCAAUAAAAUCUAUCAAUUUAGUCAAGAUAUUAACCUUCAUUGAACAUCUGUUAUCCUAUUUUCAUUACAACAGGCAUUCAUCUUUUCAAGGACCUUGGGGUUUCACACAUUUGGAGCAUAUCCAAUAACAACCUAUCAAUCUAAUCAAGAUGUAACCUCCAAACAGCCAAGAGGCACCCCUUUUGCACACCCCUUUUAGGUAUCAAAAUCCAUAGGUUGUAGAGGCAUUUGUAUAGAACUAGAAUCCAAUGCUGUGCAUAGUUUCUGGUUUUGUCUGUGACAUUUUUUCUUAGACAUUUUGGAUCAAACUCCAUAAUCUUCAUCGACCAGAAGAGAAUUGUAAGAUUGUUAACAGACCAAGCAAAAUAAAAGCAGAAGGGUGCUACAUUGGGUUUAGGAGCCAAGAAGACCAAAGUGGCAAAGGAGAAGAGAGUCAAUUAUUUUCUUCACUAUUUCCUUAACCCCUAUUAUGUUUGUCACAGAGGUUACUGUUUUUGUGAUGCUUGUAAGUCUUCUAGAUGUGUAAACUGCAUACUCUUAUCGUUUUCGCUACUCUACAGUCCCUCACACCUAGAUUUACUUUUGAGAAAAGAAGCCUGCUUUUUCACUGUCAUUCUACUAUCUUCUUCUCUUUUACAUUGCACUGUCCACUCUUACAUGCUUGUCUGUGAAAAUCACUGCUCCAAAAGUUUUUCUUUGAAAGAAACCAUCAUCACGACAAUAGGUUUCAAGUAUCUCUACCCUUUGUACACCCGUGGGCCAAAACAUUACAAGAAUGUGAAUUCUUAUCCCUGAUGCAUUGUUUGUACUUCCCCUCGAAGGCUAUCGUGUUCCUUAUUUUAUUGUGAUGAUAGAUCCAUCCAAAGUUGGUCAUAAUGAUACCACACGCGUCUAUUAUUAAAAGAAAGGAGUUUCUUUGAAGAUCACUACCUUCUUUUACAUAAUUAUAUAAGAUGACUGCCUUGUCAUACCUUAUUAGCCUCAAUGACACUGUUAUGCUUGCGUGCAAUCUUAUGACUGCCAUAACAGUACUGUCUUUUCUAUGAUGUGCUUGUGUGCAAACUUAUGACUGCAAACUUAUGACUGCCAUAACAGUACUGUCUUCUCUAUGAUGUGAUUGUGUGCAAACUUAUGACUGCAAACUUAUGACUGCCAUAACAGUACUGUCAUCUCUAUGAUGUGAUUGUGUGCAAACUUAUGACUGCCAUAACACUACUAUGUCUUUUCUAUGAUGUGCUUGUGUGCAAACUUAUGACUGCCAUAACAUUGUCUUUUCUAUGACUGCCAUAACAUUAUAUUUGAACAUGAUUAAGGAUUGUUCAUUAUGUAAUGAGGCUGACCAGGAUAAGAGCAGCAAAUAUAUAUAUUAUUUCUGGCCGAUUUAUUUAUGAAGGGCAGCGAUGAUAAUUAUGGCCGACAAAACAAGCGGCAGCGAUCAAGAGAAGGGGUGUAGCCCUUUCUAAGACUAUUGGCGGUGAAAGGGUGCGACUCCCUAAACAAAGGGAGAUACAAAAGAAGAAUUCCAUUUAAAGUAAAAAGGUGAAGGGGAUGGAACCAAUCAGCAUAAUGUUUCAUCCCAAAGGGCAGCUACCAGUAUUCAAGAAAGAAACAAACAUCAAGUCAUACCUGCCUAAAUUGCAACGGUAGGCUGAAAUAUAUACGACCUGCAAUAAUUCUAUAUUUUACAAGUAUAGUGGUAUGAAAUAGUAGAAUCAAUGAUCGCUGUGUGAUUAUGUGAAAUUCAUAUUCUAAAUCAUUGAUCUAUCUAUAAUUCUGGCAAGUCAUAAUAGAGAAGAGAAGGAAAUGCAAGAAAGGGUAGUAGAUACGAGUUUACCAUCUAAGUAGACCACUCCACGAUGGAUGUCCAAUGUGCCUCCCACUUGGGGUAUAGAGGGUGAGUGUCCAUUCUCGGACUUACGAGGAUUUUUUGGGCACCCUAUAUGAUUUCCUUUUCAACCUCUACGAUGGUGAAUUGUUGGAGAAAUGCUUAGUGUGAUAAGAACCAACUCAUUGUGCUCCCUCAUUCAAAACAUUUUGUAUUUGAAUACUAAAAAUGAAUAUAGAUAUAACAUGGCUUAUUUAAUGAA